rnacentral:pre_miRNA from 1 species
GGCGCCAUGCGGCGCUAUGUUUGGCUUUUGGCUGGAUUUUGGCUGGAUAUGCGGCGCCAUAUCCAGCCAAAAGCCAAACAUAGCGCCGCAUGGCGCC